AAUUUCGGUUAUCGAUGGGGAUGCGUUCCAUUAGUUUGUUGGCGGGGUAACGGCCCACCAAGACAACGAUGGAUAGGGGUUCUGAGAGGAAGGUCCCCCACAUUGGAACUGAGACACGGUCCAAACUCCUACGGGAGGCAGCAGUGAGGAAUAUUGGUCAAUGGGCGAGAGCCUGAACCAGCCAAGUAGCGUGAAGGAUGAAGGCUCUAUGGGUCGUAAACUUCUUUUAUAUGGGAAUAAAGUAUUCCACGUGUGGAAUUUUGUAUGUACCAUAUGAAUAAGGAUCGGCUAACUCCGUGCCAGCAGCCGCGGUAAU
rnacentral:rRNA from 1 species